rnacentral:rRNA from 1 species
GGUUAAGCGACUAAGCGUACACGGUGGAUGCCCUGGCAGUCAGAGGCGAUGAAGGACGUGCUAAUCUGCGAUAAGCGUCGGUAAGGUGAUAUGAACCGUUAUAACCGGCGAUUUCCGAAUGGGGAAACCCAGUGUGUUUCGACACACUAUCAUUAACUGAAUCCAUAGGUUAAUGAGGCGAACCGGGGGAACUGAAACAUCUAAGUACCCCGAGGAAAAGAAAUCAACCGAGAUUCCCCCAGUAGCGGCGAGCGAACGGGGAGCAGCCCAGAGCCUGAAUCAGUAUGUGUGUUAGUGGAAGCGUCUGGAAAGGCGCGCGAUACAGGGUGACAGCCCCGUACACAAAAAUGCACAUAUUGUGAGCUCGAUGAGUAGGGCGGGACACGUGGUAUCCUGUCUGAAUAUGGGGGGACCAUCCUCCAAGGCUAAAUACUCCUGACUGACCGAUAGUGAACCAGUACCGUGAGGGAAAGGCGAAAAGAACCCCGGCGAGGGGAGUGAAAAAGAACCUGAAACCGUGUACGUACAAGCAGUGGGAGCACGCUUAGGCGUGUGACUGCGUACCUUUUGUAUAAUGGGUCAGCGACUUAUAUUCUGUAGCAAGGUUAACCGAAUAGGGGAGCCGAAGGGAAACCGAGUCUUAACUGGGCGUUAAGUUGCAGGGUAUAGACCCGAAACCCGGUGAUCUAGCCAUGGGCAGGUUGAAGGUUGGGUAACACUAACUGGAGGACCGAACCGACUAAUGUUGAAAAAUUAGCGGAUGACUUGUGGCUGGGGGUGAAAGGCCAAUCAAACCGGGAGAUAGCUGGUUCUCCCCGAAAGCUAUUUAGGUAGCGCCUCGUGAAUUCAUCUCCGGGGGUAGAGCACUGUUUCGGCAAGGGGGUCAUCCCGACUUACCAACCCGAUGCAAACUGCGAAUACCGGAGAAUGUUAUCACGGGAGACACACGGCGGGUGCUAACGUCCGUCGUGAAGAGGGAAACAACCCAGACCGCCAGCUAAGGUCCCAAAGUCAUGGUUAAGUGGGAAACGAUGUGGGAAGGCCCAGACAGCCAGGAUGUUGGCUUAGAAGCAGCCAUCAUUUAAAGAAAGCGUAAUAGCUCACUGGUCGAGUCGGCCUGCGCGGAAGAUGUAACGGGGCUAAACCAUGCACCGAAGCUGCGGCAGCGACGCUUAUGCGUUGUUGGGUAGGGGAGCGUUCUGUAAGCCUGCGAAGGUGUGCUGUGAGGCAUGCUGGAGGUAUCAGAAGUGCGAAUGCUGACAUAAGUAACGAUAAAGCGGGUGAAAAGCCCGCUCGCCGGAAGACCAAGGGUUCCUGUCCAACGUUAAUCGGGGCAGGGUGAGUCGACCCCUAAGGCGAGGCCGAAAGGCGUAGUCGAUGGGAAACAGGUUAAUAUUCCUGUACUUGGUGUUACUGCGAAGGGGGGACGGAGAAGGCUAUGUUGGCCGGGCGACGGUUGUCCCGGUUUAAGCGUGUAGGCUGGUUUUCCAGGCAAAUCCGGAAAAUCAAGGCUGAGGCGUGAUGACGAGGCACUACGGUGCUGAAGCAACAAAUGCCCUGCUUCCAGGAAAAGCCUCUAAGCAUCAGGUAACAUCAAAUCGUACCCCAAACCGACACAGGUGGUCAGGUAGAGAAUACCAAGGCGCUUGAGAGAACUCGGGUGAAGGAACUAGGCAAAAUGGUGCCGUAACUUCGGGAGAAGGCACGCUGAUAUGUAGGUGAAGCGACUUGCUCAUGGAGCUGAAAUCAGUCGAAGAUACCAGCUGGCUGCAACUGUUUAUUAAAAACACAGCACUGUGCAAACACGAAAGUGGACGUAUACGGUGUGACGCCUGCCCGGUGCCGGAAGGUUAAUUGAUGGGGUCAGCGCAAGCGAAGCUCCUGAUCGAAGCCCCGGUAAACGGCGGCCGUAACUAUAACGGUCCUAAGGUAGCGAAAUUCCUUGUCGGGUAAGUUCCGACCUGCACGAAUGGCGUAAUGAUGGCCAGGCUGUCUCCACCCGAGACUCAGUGAAAUUGAACUCGCUGUGAAGAUGCAGUGUACCCGCGGCAAGACGGAAAGACCCCGUGAACCUUUACUAUAGCUUGACACUGAACAUUGAGCCUUGAUGUGUAGGAUAGGUGGGAGGCUUUGAAGUGUGGACGCCAGUCUGCAUGGAGCCGACCUUGAAAUACCACCCUUUAAUGUUUGAUGUUCUAACGUGGACCCGUGAACCGGGUUGCGGACAGUGUCUGGUGGGUAGUUUGACUGGGGCGGUCUCCUCCUAAAGAGUAACGGAGGAGCACGAAGGUUGGCUAAUCCUGGUCGGACAUCAGGAGGUUAGUGCAAUGGCAUAAGCCAGCUUGACUGCGAGCGUGACGGCGCGAGCAGGUGCGAAAGCAGGUCAUAGUGAUCCGGUGGUUCUGAAUGGAAGGGCCAUCGCUCAACGGAUAAAAGGUACUCCGGGGAUAACAGGCUGAUACCGCCCAAGAGUUCAUAUCGACGGCGGUGUUUGGCACCUCGAUGUCGGCUCAUCACAUCCUGGGGCUGAAGUAGGUCCCAAGGGUAUGGCUGUUCGCCAUUUAAAGUGGUACGCGAGCUGGGUUUAGAACGUCGUGAGACAGUUCGGUCCCUAUCUGCCGUGGGCGCUGGAGAACUGAGGGGGGCUGCUCCUAGUACGAGAGGACCGGAGUGGACGCAUCACUGGUGUUCGGGUUGUCAUGCCAAUGGCACUGCCCGGUAGCUAAAUGCGGAAGAGAUAAGUGCUGAAAGCAUCUAAGCACGAAACUUGCCCCGAGAUGAGUUCUCCCUGACUCCUUGAGAGUCCUGAAGGAACGUUGAAGACGACGACGUUGAUAGGCCGGGUGUGUAAGCGCAGCGAUGCGUUGAGCUAACCGGUACUAAUGAACCGUGAGGCUUAACCUU